UUCCCUUCCUCUUUUCUUUUUGGGGUUGCCUUCUUCUCUUCGCCCUCUUGGCCCCUCCAUUUCUGAUCUUCCUUUCCCUUUCCAGUUUAGUGUUUUGUUUUGCGUUUGUUGUACAUUGUCUUCAACAGAGCCGUAGUAAGGUUUUCAUUAACACCUUAGAGGAUUCUAAUGCAAAAUCCAAUUGACGACAAUCAAUUGGGCUUUGGAAUCCUCUAAGGUUUUAUCGGAAGUCUUAGAUUCCUAAUCAGAUAUGCAAUAAUUGUUCCGGCGACUUUGACAGAUUUAAUAAUCAUUAAAGAGUAAUCAGGAUCAUGAGCACAUAUAAUACAAACAUUGAGGAAUACAAACACAAGGAAAACAGAUUCAACCCUCACUUACCAAUUCAUUGUUGCCCAGUUUCUCACUAAUCGUCCCAGGGUUUCAUCUCGCGUCAAAGAUAGCUUGAUGAAGAGUGAGAUUACAGAGUUUACACAAUACAACAAUUCUCGAGGGCAAGAAGUUGCUGAAUUGGUCAGUCGUCGAUGAAGCAGUUUUUGUUAUGUACCCUGAUACAUGAAAACGCUUCGUCUCUUUUGCGGUGAUACUUUUCUAAUCAAGUCAGAUUAGAAGACAUGUUGAACAAACGGGCCUUCAUAUUGCAGUCACCCAAUAGAAGUAGGCAUUUGUGGUCCUGAAGGGUUUCUUUUGCUUUGGGGAGCCAUCACUGAGAUCUGGUACAAGAAGAUGAAGUUUCCUUCAUUUUGAAUCUCUACCCUGAAUCCCUGAUGGAUAUUCAGCCGGAAAGCGCACAAAGAAUUACAUUGGGAUUCAUGUUGGUUUUCAAGAAGGUUCAAAGAUGUUACAUCCUUAUGAUCGAACCUCUAAGGGUUUCUUCACUUUUCCUGAUUUUGAUGAGCAAAAAGUGUCACUAGAUCUUGAUGCAGAUGGACUCUUGGGCAGUGUUGAGGGAAAAUAUGGUAUCUUGCGCUUAGUUCCCUAAACAUUCUUUCAAAUUCCCCUCACCCCGACUAAGCUGAUGAGAUAGACUAAAAUACUUGUUCGUUCUAAAACUCAGUUUUCCCUCCUUGUUUUAUGUAUAAUCCAACUGAAAUAAAAUGGCUGCCUCAUCUUGUAAUUUAAAGCUGUCCUUGGAAGCUUUGGUCUCGGCUCAACAGAUUCAUUGCUGAUCGUUAUUCCUCAAAUCAUACGGUGUUUGAAUAUCACGUGUACGAGUUCUUUAGGGUAUGUCAUGAGGUGUCAAAUGUUUUCUUUGUUUCUUGCUAUUUAUGUGUUAAAAUAUGCAAAUAGUAUUGAUGUCAUGUACUAAAUGUCUUGCCUUUUGUUAUCUUCUUGCUUAACGUAUUCUUAUUUCUACUGAUAAUUAGGUUCAAAAUCACAAUGCUUUUGUGCUUUUCGGUGGUCUAAAUAUAGGGGUAAACUUCCUCAAAGUUAAAAUCCAAAAGUUAGUUGAAAGAAAAGCCUGAAUCAUGAUCAGUUUUUGAUAUGUAUAAUUAUUAGUCCCAACAUGCUGAAUAGCAGUGAUUAGUCUACAUAAGUGACCUGUCUCGGGUCCUUGAGAAUUCGGCUUAUUUGAUCUUUUUCUUCCAAUCUGAAAUUUAAGUUGUUUUAGCUUAUUCCAGUCAAUCCAGAUUACCUUAAAUCACAAAAUUUAACCAACUUCUCAAUAUGGAUGAAAUAUGCUAAAAUUACUUGUGUAAUAGCCCGAGUUAUAAGUUGGUGUUAUUAAUGGCCAAGUAUUAUUAGCUAAACCUUUUUAAAAAAAGUAAGAUUAUGGUUACAAAUUUUACUUAAGACAUUUUAAUGAUUGGAUUUAAAUGACCAAAAUACCCUUAUUUUCUUAGCUUAAUCACUCAAUUUCCUCUUCCUCGUGUCAUGCAAAGGAUUUCCAUGAAACAUGUAUUGUUGUCAUUACUACCAAUCACCAAAAGAUGAUUAUGUACAUGUGUCCAAUUUGUAUUUUCUCUCAAUUUGAUUAGAGGGUUAGUUGGCAAUUAUUUGAUAUCCUUAAAUUUAGUUUUCUCAUCUCCUCUAAUGUGUGCAUGAUACAUAUUAGUGUCGUCCAAUCUUCGCACCAAAAAAAAACUCAAAGAGGAACCCAAAAGUCCCACCUCACUCUCACUAAUAUUCUCUCCUCUAUUAUCGUCGCUUUUUUCAUCCAUUAUCUCCAGCAUUGAAACGUUUUUAGCCAUUACUUCCUUCAUGAAAGUUAUAGCCCUUGGAAAAUUAACCAAUUUAGGCUCAAGAAUUACUUAAUUCAGAACCUUGAGCUAGGAGAUAUGGUCUUCCGAAACUCACAGUUGUUGCUGCCAACGUGUUGUUGCUAUUGCUCUUUCUUCCUUGAUUUUUCUCACUUCCACCGCUUCUUAAUUGCGUUGUUAGCUUCUCAUUUGAAAGGUAUCAUUAUUGGCCUAAACUUUAUUUUUUUAGUUGUGUUUAAAAAGUUUGAAUUUCAGUUUUAGUAAGCAACUAAAGUAGUAUUUAACGAUGAGUUUCUUGUUUCGGUAAUUGUGAGUCAAGUUAUUGAUUUUAGUAUUAUUUUUGUGAGGUAAUAUAUGGAGAUUGAUUGAGGAGUUCAAUACAAGUCAAAUUGGUGAUCAAAUUAUGGGUUAUUAUUGGAGAUAAGAGUUAAUCGAUCUUGGAGGUUAUUAAGGAUUUUGCUUACUGAAUUGAGGUUGUGUGGAAGCUCAGGUGGGAGUCAAAUGAAGCUUGGUUGUAUUUAAGGGUUUGUAAAUUGUGUGUUACAAAACUAAGGUUCUAUUCAUGUGUGAAAUAGUUUCUGAAUUGUUUGUAAGUUUGAAUGUGAAUUAAAGGUUUAUAUUUAUUUUAAAGAUUAUUCAUUCAAGGUUAUAUAAAGUUAUUUUGUGGGCCCAUAACCCACAGGUCCA